UCCCUAACAUGUCCCGGAACAUGGGUGAUCGGGACGUCAGUGGUGUUGGUGCGCGUGCACUUGCCCACGUGCGUAAACAUUUGGAUGUAAACAUUUCUGCAUCUUCCUUAAAACCACAGCGCAUAAAAGGAAACAAGUACACGAACAGAAAGGAGACGCUUCUGAACGCCGGUUACCGCGAGACCAAAACGUCAAAUUUCGUACGGUGCAAAAUUGUAGUUUAAAAAAUCUGAUACACACCGGCCGAUUUGAGACACCGAAUCAUGAUUUGCUCGCAACACCCGCAGCAGAUGCCCAGAAAACCUGCGCCAGUGAAAUGAGUUUCGUUUUUAUUUUUCAAUGUUAAUAAAAUAUUGUAAAUGCUUGUAAAUCAAUAUCUUUCAUUAUAUAUGUAAGUAAAAAUCGCUUUGUGUGAUAUUUAUUCAUUUUAACCUUAUAUUUUAGAACUGCGAUGCUAUCAUCAUCAAUUUUUGGCUUCAGUUUGGCGCCAUUUUCGCUGAUGCUAGACGUGCUUGCUUGAAUGCUUUGAAUGUGAGUUUGCAGCGGGAAUCGGGAAGUCUCGCGCUUUGGAGCACGCAUUUUUGAGUGCUGGUCGGCGGGACCGGAAGACUGCGCAGAAGUGGAUCCCGCAUUUUUCAUGGCGAGCAUGGCUUGUGGCAGUGAGAAGUUUGCUGUAGUGGUAUUCCCCGAUGAGAAAAACACCCUGGCUGUUGUCUACAGGUCGUGGCUGAGUGCCAGAUAUGACAGAACAUUCUGGCCUCAAGUAAAGAACCCAGAUAAGCACCGGCGAAUGGUCAUAGAAGGAGCCACACCAUAACCUGAUUGGAGCCAGGCAAGAUGUGUAGUAAAGUUUUGGACUGAUGACUAUGAGAUGGCACAUGAGAAAAUGGGGAAAUGGCAAUGCAGAUCACCUGGUUCGGUACCAAAGGCAAGCAAAAGUUCAUUGAGCUCAAUAUCUGCAAGCUCUUAUGCAGCACCCUGGUCGACUGUGAUGGCUCGGUCGCAGAGAAUAUCAAGCAAGCCACGCUGAAGGAUAUUGAGAAGGCCGGCAUGUCGUGGUUCCGCCAUGCAACAGAACAAGCAGCAGGAGAGGACACAGCCUUGGCUGCAACAAGGAGCCCAACAGCAGCUGAUGCUGGCACAGAUUAAACACAUUCUGUAAUCAUUUUUUUGUCCUGGCACCGACUAAACACUG